rnacentral:lncRNA from 10 species
CACCCACUCAGAAACCAUCAGGGAGAACCUCUUUCUUCAACCCCCCUGCUCUGUAAGAGCACUCAGAGCUCAAGAGAUGACCUGUCUUCACGGGGGAAAUCUAGUAACGCUGGAUAUGCAAUAGGAAUUCACUAUAUGAACAGCAAUUCACCACACCAAAUACCCCCCAGAUAAAGCUGGGAAAGUUAUGGCUGUUUGGGGUAAUCUGGAAAGAACCUCAGUGACAGUAAAUAAUUUUUGUUUGUACCAGAGAAAAAUCUAAAACCAGCAGGAACUCCGAGGAGUUUCAUUUUCUUUCUUAGGUGGAAAGCAGCCACAUGAGAAGGGUUGGCUUGUCAAGGUUUCAAGCCUGUCACGGAUCUCCAGCCUCGGAGGCAUAUUUUCAGUUUCGAUUCAGCUGAUAGGUGGGGAGAAAGCACCCCAGUUCUUGGAAGUUAGCCGUUUCUCCUCCUCGCAGACAACCUCCAGAGCAGGGCAGCAGGCAGCUGCUAGAGAUUUAUUUCUCCACUUAGUCGUCUCCGCUUGCGGCUUCCUCCCAUGAGUGAGGACCAAGAGAAGCCCCCUGUCUCUGAUGAAAGUGGGGGAUGAACACUGAACCAAACCCACACUGCUCAGCACAUUUGAUGCGGCCAGAAACAGACUGCAAAGGCUGAGAAAGCUUUUCAGGGGCCGUCUGGCUGUGUGGGUGCGAAGACCUGGCUGUACUUGGAAUCACCUGGGAAGACUUACAAAAAUGGUUUCCGAGCCUCACCCGCAAGGAUUCUGACUUGGUGAGUCUGAAUCACCAAGAUUCUCGGGGUGAGGCCCCAGAAUCUGCCUGUAUGUAGCCAGCAAUGCUGCAUUUGGACCUGCAUCUGGGGACCUCUGGGCCACCCUGGCCCCCUUAAUUUAUAAAGCAGAACCAGCCCCAGGGUGGAGAAUGAAUGAGGUGCCUGUCACCUGGUUACACAAUUUAAGGUGUCCUUAGUUAUGCCCAGCUGACUCGAGCACAGAUCUUCCUGGGCACUCUCUUCUACACCAGCACAGGGUGGGGCGUGGGAGGGGAGUACGUGCCCAUGCGGGCAUCUACUGAAUGUGCCAGGCCUGUAUCUCUAUUAUCUCACCUCUAUCCUGUGAAGUAGAUAUUAUUAUCCCCAUUGUACAGAUGAGAAAACCUAGACUCAGAGAGGCUGAGCCAUUUGGUCAAGGACACACAGCUGCUGAAAUGACAAGGCCAAGUUUGAACCCAGGUGGUCCCUUCUUUGGCCCAUGCUUAACUACACCAGGGCACCCUCUUGAUAGUGGUCUCCUUGGGGUUCUGUUGCAGCUCAGAGCACAAGCUUCUCCCUGAUCGCUGCCCUAUAGCUUAUUUCCAAUGUUUUUUUUUUUUUUUUUCUGGUUUUUAGUUGACUUUUCAUCAUAUUCAGCCCAGUGACCUCUGGUCCUCUCUUGGGCUCUUUCAGCGUUAUUCGGUGUUUUGUGUUUGUGCACCUUAACUGCGUGGAAAAGUGCUCGGUCCUUGGGAACAAGGGCCACAGGGCAUUGCUUCCUUCCCCAGGGCCUGGCACCUACCGGGCACUAGCAGGCAGUCUGGCCAUAGUAGCUGAGUGAUGAGUGAACUGCUUGGAGGCUGUGCAUGUUGCCCAGACUCUUUUAGGUCUAUCUCCCCUAAAGGCAUCUGUGAAAACACAUAAAGCAACACCCUGAGGCAGCAACGGCUCCAGUCUGGGAGUCUGAGGAGCAGAAAGAAGCUGAGGUGGCCAUAGGAGCCCCAUGGGCAGUGAGGUGAGGCCAGGGAGAUGGGCCACGGCCGGUCAGCCAGGGCCUUGAAGGGCACGGUAAAGCGUAUGGAUUUUGUCCUGAGAAACGAGAAGUCAGCUUUGACAGGGGAGGGCCAUGCUCCUGUGGCCCGAGUCAUCAGGCCGUGCUGCCUGCUAUACUGCUGGAUGCCCCUUUAAGUCAGGAGCCCCACACUGUUCAUGGGGUAACUCCAGGGCCUGGCUCUCAGUGGCGUGCAGAGGCAUUUAUUUUAUUUUACUUUUUUGCUGCUUUGCACCUGGCAAUGGAAGAAUGAAAGGCAACCCAGAGUGAAAUUAGGAUUACAAUUUUACAAACGUCUGUUUCUGACGCAGGAAGCACAUCAUUUGUCCACAUCACACUCUCUUGGAAUUUAUGACAAAGCCAGGUAAAUGAAAACUUGGAAAGAUAAACCUCAGAUAAGGGGGGACUACUGUAUUCAUUCCUUCACCAUGGCAUGUCUGUGUCUGAGAAUCUACCCUUAAAAACAAUCUGGAUGCAAAGAAGCCGUAAGAUAGAGCGCAGUCCCUUCAUUUCAUAAAAGAAUGAAACUAACUCAAAUACACAAUGCAAUGGGUGAGUAAAGUAUUGCACUACCCUUAAUGUAAUAUUGUGGGGCCACUGAAAACAUGCUCACAUGUUUAUGGAAAUCUGAGAAGUGUUUCUAUCUAUGGCAUUUCAUCA